rnacentral:rRNA from 1 species
CCAAUAGCGUAUAUUAAAGUUGUUGCAGUUAAAAAGCUCGUAGUUGAACUUCGGGGUCUACCCAUUGGUCAGGCUUAAUUGUCUGUACUGGUGAGAUGGAUCUCUACCUUCUGAGGAACUUUUAUGCCAUUUAGUUGGUGUGAUGGGAAAUCAGGACUAUUACUUUGAAAAAAUUAGAGUGUUUAAAGCAGGCUAACGUCUGAAUACAUUAGCAUGGAAUAAUGAAAUAGGACGGACUGAUUCUAUUUCGUUGGUUUCUAGGAUCACCGUAAUGAUUAAUAGGGAUAGUUGGGGGCAUUAGUAUUCAAUUGUCAGAGGUGAAAUUCUUGGAUUUAUUGAAGACUAACUACUGCGAAAGCAUUUGCCAAGGAUGUUUUCAUUAAUCAAGAACGAAAGUUAGGGGAUCGAAGACGAUCAGAUACCGUCGUAGUCUUAACCAUAAACUAUGCCGACUAGGGAUCGGACGAAGUUAAUUUUAUAAUGACGCGUUCGGCACCUUACG